UUUCUCUAGAUCGAACGCAUGAAUCUACGUGUGGAGUUGUGGUGACGUAGACACACGCGUUGGACCCUAGAGCAUGG
rnacentral:pre_miRNA from 1 species